rnacentral:rRNA from 1 species
AGCAGCCGCGGUAAUUCCAGCUCCAAUAGCGUAUAUUAAAGUUGUUGCAGUUAAAAAGCUCGUAGUUGAAUUUUGGAUUCUUCCAAUUGGUCCAUCUUUUAGAUGAGUACUGGUUGUGUGGGGUCUAUCCGCCUGGUGAUACGUAAUGUCCUUUAUUGGAUGUUGCGGGUAGUCAGGACCUUUACCUUGAAAAAUUAGAGUGUUUAAAGCAGGCUUAUGCCGGAAUACAUUAGCAUGGAAUAAUAGAAUAGGACGAAGUUGUUUUAUUUGUUGGUUUCUAGGACAACCGUAAUGAUUAAUAGGGAUAGUUGGGGGCAUUAGUAUUCAAUUGUCAGAGGUGAAAUUCUUGGAUUUAUUGAAGACUAACUACUGCGAAAGCAUUUGCCAAGGAUGUUUUCAUUAAUCAAGAACGAAAGUUAGGGGAUCGAAGACGAUCAGAUACCGUCGUAGUCUUAACCAUAAACUAUGCCGACUAGGGAUCGGGCGAUGUUGUUUCCAUGACUCGCUCGGCACCUUAUGG